rnacentral:rRNA from 1 species
CCUAAGCUGAGGCCGAAAGGCGUAGGUGAUGGACAACAGGUUGAUAUUCCUGUACUACCGAUAACCGUUUGAGAGAAGGGAUGACACAGUAGGAUAAGCUAAGCACACUGUUGGUUAUGUGUGCCCAAGCAUUGAGGCAGUCAAAGUAGGCAAAUCCGCUUUGAUAAUGCUGGGAUGUGAUGGGGAGCGAAAUUUAGUAGCGAAGUAGCUGAUUUCACACUGUCAAGAAAAGUCUCUAUCGAGGUUAAAGGUACCCGUACCGCAAACCGACACAGGUGGGUGAGGAGAGUAUCCUAAGGCCAGCGAGAGAACUGUUGUUAAGGAACUCGGCAAAAUGACCCCGUAACUUAGGGAUAAGGGGUGCCACCAUCAGGUGGCCGCAGAGAAUAGGCCCAAGCGACUGUUUACCAAAAACAUAGGUUUCUGCUAAGUCGCAAGACGAUGUAUAGGAGCUGACGCCUGCCCGGUGCUGGAAGGUUAAGGGGAUCUGUUAGAGCAAUCGAAGCAGUGAACUUAAGCCCCAGUAAACGGCGGCCGUAACUAUAACGGUCCUAAGGUAGCGAAAUUCCUUGUCGGGUAAGUUCCGACCCGCACGAAAGGCGUAACGAUUUGGGCACUGUCUCAACAACAGACUCGGUGAAAUUGUAAUUCCGGUGAAGAUGCCGGAUACCUGCGACAGGACGGAAAGACCCCAUGGAGCUUUACUGUAGCUUGACAUUGGGUCUUGGUACUACAUGUACAGGAUAGGUGGGAGGCUUUGAAACCAGGACGCCAGUUUUGGCGGAGCCAUCCUUGGGAUACCACCCUUGUAGUACUGGGACUCUAACCAUAGGCCAUGAAUCUGGUCUUGGGACACUGUCAGGUGGGCAGUUUGACUGGGGCGGUCGCCUCCCAAAAGGUAACGGAGGCGCUCAAAGGUUCUCUCAGUACGGUCGGAAAUCGUACGUAGAGUGUAAAGGCAAAAGAGAGCUUGAUUGCAAGACAUACAGGUCGAGCAAGGAUGAAAAUCGGACUUAGUGAUCCGGUGGUUCUGCGUGGAAGGGCCAUCGCUCAACGGAUAAAAGCUACCCUGGGGAUAACAGGCUUAUCUCCCCCAAGAGUCCACAUCGACGGGGAGGUUUGGCACCUCGAUGUCGGCUCAUCACAUCCUGGGGCUGUAGUAGGUCCCAAGGGUUGGGCUGUUCGCCCAUUAAAGUGGUACGCGAGCUGGGUUCAGAACGUCGUGAGACAGUUCGGUCCCUAUCCGUCGCAGGCGUAGGAAAUUUGAGAAGACCUGUCCUUAGUACGAGAGGACCGGGAUGGACGUACCUCUGGUGUACCAGUUGU